GCCUGGGUGGCUCAGUCGGUUGAGCGUCCGACUUCAGCUCAGGUCAUGAUCUCACAGCUCGUGGGUUCGAGCCCUGCGUCGGGCU
rnacentral:tRNA from 1 species